UACGUAGGGUGCGAGCGUUGUCCGGAAUUAUUGGGCGUAAAGAGCUCGUAGGCGGUUUGUCGCGUCGACUGUGAAAACCUACAGCUUAACUGUGGGCUUGCAGUCGAUACGGGCAGACUAGAGUGCGGUAGGGGAGACUGGAAUUCCUGGUGUAGCGGUGAAAUGCGCAGAUAUCAGGAGGAACACCGGUGGCGAAGGCGGGUCUCUGGGCCGUAACUGACGCUGAGGAGCGAAAGCGUGGGGAGCAAACAGG
rnacentral:rRNA from 1 species